GAAAUGGCAACCCACUCCAGUGUUAUUGCCUGGAGAAUCCCAGGGACGGCGGAGCCUGGUGGACUGCUGUCUAUGGGGUCGCACAGAGUCGGACACGACUGAAGCGACUUAGCAGCAGCAGGGAUUUUAACUUAGGACAUGAAUUGGAAUUGGACAUGGCCAGUUACCUGAAAGAGUUUGGUACAGGUCUGUGCAAUGGCAAAAUAAUCGGAGUCCCCUUGAGCUUCUGUUCCCAGCUAUGGAAAGGGACAGAGCAGUGAUGCAGUGUGCUGGAACAGCAACUAUAUGUAGUCUACAAAGUAGUAUAACAGAUGAGAGACAUUCUAAAAUGCCUACUCAAGUUGUCGAGUAAUGCAAAAACCACUAUUUAGGAUCUAGAACAGCCGUGCAUGACAUACAGCACCGCCGUGGACAUAAUAGUGGCCAAGAAUCCACUUCAUUGGCCGUAAAGUUCAGAUACGGGCCAGUGAAGAUGACACACUGGCAUCUCUACCCACCCUGUGACCCCCUGCUGCCAGGUUAGUUGAAAGGAUGAGUGGAUUGCUUCAACAACCAAGAUAGGGAAUUUCUGUACUUGUGGGCCCAGGAGGCUAACUCCAGCCUAGGAACUAUAACUGAACAUCCCAGGAACAGUUGUCCCAGUGCUUAUGCCGUGUUAACCCACAGGCAACUAGUCAACACCAUGUGAGUUCAACUGUUUACCCCCAAAGGGACCAUUGUCUACUACCGGUCAGGACAAUAACUCACUUUUGCCCUUGCCACAAUUUCUGCCCUCGGGAACGUAUUAUAAAAGAAAUGGCUCUGGAAUUGGCAGGUAAGUGCCCUGUGGUUUGGGUAAGUCCCCUGUGGGGAAUAGGAUGAGAAAGGGACAGAUUUCACCUGUCUUAUACCUGCCCCACCUGAGAGGAAAGCAGGCAUUUAGUGGAGGAAGGCACCAUUUAUUAUAUUAACCUUACAAUCUAUUCUGCCACCUUGCCUGUAUUUGGCACAGUCUGUGGGGACUGAGGGUAACUGGGCAGGAUGAGGGUAGAUUUGGCUAAUGGUCAUGAUCUCCCCUGUAUCGUGCCUGUUAAACAUCUUGGCGUUUCACCUGUUUGAGCAGAGGGAGCUGCUCACAGAUUGGGAGGUAUCAGUGACCUCUUUGCUGGGUCUACAGCAAGAUGUCCUCCCCGGGACUUCCAUGAAAAAUGGACCCAGUAAGUGCCUGGCUCCAAAUUUACCCACGUCUUACACUUUUGAUACUCUUCAGCUGCUGUUGUCUGUAUUGCACUUGUUUUAUUGGGUGGAGGUGCACCUCUACAUACCUGACCCCAGGAAUAUCACGUAAGAGGGGCAGACUUAAGGGGGUAAGGGUUGUGGAGUGUAUGGUCAGGUCACUCGAGACGGCUGCUCUUCUGCUGUCUGUACAUCCUCUGCUUGAUGAGUCCCUGCUGUGCCUACACUGUGUUGGAACAAAUGUGCUCGCCCUUGCCCCAGCCAGUGAGUGUUCUAAUCCUUGGGCCAGAAUGGCUCCACCUGCUAGUUUAUUAAAGGGAAACAUCUGCCCUGAUGAUGGUUGUUAACCUGAGGGGCUGUAAGGGAUGGGUCUCCGUUGCUGGUUUCCCUGGUAACUGAGCCAACGUGAGGUCAAUUCCCCCUGUAAAAGGUAGUCUCCAACCACCUUUUAAAAGGUGGUCUUGCCUCCUGCCCCGCCGCCCCCAGCGAAGACCGCCGCCAUCACUGUGUCCUGCUCGCCAGCUUGUUUGUCUGCCACAUGUGAUGGGUUGUUCCUCUAGGACUUUUCUUCAGUGAUCCAUAUCGGUGUGCAUUUUUGGGAAAGGAAGACCCUGGAGAUGACAGUGGAUUCUUCUCAGUGCAUCAGGAGGCAUACUGUGCUGAUCUGGCCCAUGUUUGUGACGUUAACCAUGAUCACUUGGUUAAGGUGGUGUCUGUCAGAUUUUUCCACUGUAAAAUCACUUCUUCUCCUUUGUAAUCAGAGGCAUCUUCAUACAUACUUCUAAAAGCUUCAUUGAGAUAUUAACAUAUAAAAUUCAUCCACCUCAAGGCAUAAUUCAGUGAUUCUUUUAUUUUGGUAAAUUUAGUUGUGCAGCCAUCAUCACAAUCUAAUUUUUUAAAAAAUUUCCAUUGUCACCACAAGACCCUCUGUCUCAUUUGCAGUAGAUUGCCAUUCGUACUCUCCACCCCAGGCAAAUCACUAAUCUACUUUCUGUAUCUAUAGAUUUGAUUUUGGGGGGUAUAUUUCCUUUAAAUGGAAUCAUACAACAUAUAGUCUGUGUCCGACUGGCUCCAUUUAAAUUUACUCUGGUUAGAGAACUAGAUCCUGCAUUCCAAAACUAAGACUGGAGUAGCCAAAUAAAACAUUUUUAAAAAAUAACUUUACUCACUUGUAUAAUAUUUAAGACUAUAUCUAUUGUGUUGAUCUUGAAUUUGAUCUCCAUGUUGUAGCAUAUAUCAGUGGCUUCUUUUUAUUACUGAAUAAUAUUCCAUUGUGAAUAUACUUAUAUUUUGCUUAAUGGAUACUGUUUCCAGUUUGGGGCAAUUAUGAAUAACAUUGCUGUGAACAUUUGGGGCAAGUCUUUGUGUGGGCAUAUAUUUUCAUAUUUCUUGGGUGAAAUACCUAGGAGUGGAGUUGCUAGGUUACAUGACAACUAACAUUUUUAGGAGACUGUCACACUAUUUUCCAACAUGGCUACGCCAUUUUACAUUCUAUAGUACCUGAUUAAAAUAAAUUGGUUAUAUUGAAAUUAUGAGUAUAAAUGUGAGAGGAAUUUCUGUAACCCCAGUAUGGGUUUCAAAUUAGCCAUGUAGCACAUAUUAGUUAUAAAAUGGACAAUCGGCCUUCUUGUUAACUAAUCAGAUUGCAUGCUUCGAUUAAUCCAGUCUUAGCCAUGCUUAUUGUAGAAAAGGAUGGUAUAAAGAUUUAUGGGCUAGAAAUAAUGGGGACAGCUGAAGUUUAAAUGGGAAAGAGCACAGGUGAAUUUCAGAGACAGAAGAGUGGCAUUAAGAGAAAUGUCUAAUUACAAGUUGUUUUAUGCUGGGUCUAUAAUUAGUGGAUUAGUUCCCUCGCAUGGGUAGUCCCUUGGUGCCCAUGGUAUAGCACGGCCUCUGACUGUACAUCUGUCUUUUAAAGUACACAACACAUUUUUGACAUUCAGUCUGGUCAUCUUACUAAUAAGAAAGUCCUAAAACAAAACUGAUUUUUUUUUUUUCUGGUUCAAACUAUGGGAGGUGGAUUACUGAACAUAGAAAUUAUAGUUCUGGUUAGGCUUCAUGUUAGAUUUAAACAUUUUACAAUCAUAGACCUGUAGUGCUGUAUACUCCCAUCCCCCCUUUUAUUAACCCAAUUUGUGUUUUACCGUAUUGGCCAAAGUCUACUAGAUUGGACUCUGUUCAAAUAAUAGAAAGAUAAGGGUGCAUGUGUUCAUGUUUUAAACACCUUAAUAUGGACCUAAGUACGAAAACUUAACUUUGCAGUGGAGAGUGUUAGCAGUGUUAGUAUCACAUACAAUUAUAUUAACUAUAACAUUUUCAAAAAGCAUGUCUUGACUUUUCACAUUUUCAAAAUAAAUGACUUAAAAAAAUUUUUUAUGGUAGAACAUCUUUUCAAAGGAAAAGUAUCCCUACCUAUCUGUGCAUGACUUUGCCAUUCUUACAUACAUUUACCUCAAUUUCUCAAGUACUGUGUAUUUUUAAUAAAAUGAUAUACUUUUAAGCUCCUAGUCACACAGUGCAUGUUUAUUAAAGUUGAUUUGGCAGAGAUUUUGCUUUCGGUUAGUCCAAGUAUAUUUAUAUUUUUAAAGACAACUAUGGGCAUACUUUUGGAGAAGGAAAUGGCAACCCACUCCAGUGUUCUUGCCUGGAGAAUCCCAUGGAUGGAGAAGCCUGGUAGGUUGUAGUCCAUGGGGUCGCACAGAGUCGGACAUGACUGAAGCGACUUAGUAGUAGUAGUAGUAUGGGCAUACUUUAUAUCUGACUAAUAACUAAUAGACUUUAUAAGCAGUUAGUUAUCUCAUGUUGUUUAGAAUGGUUUUCUUUACCUUGGCACUGGCAAUUUGAAUGGGUGAUUUUUUGUUGUUGUUGUUCAGGUGUCCUGUGCAUGUAGGAUAUUUAGCAGCAUCCUUGGCUUCUAACCACUAAUUGCCAAGGAUACUCUUUCCCCCUUCAUAUGUGACAUCUCCAAAUAUUGCCAGGUGUCCCCUGGUGAGCAAAAUUGCCCUAAGUUGAGAACCACAGAUUUUAAAAUAAAAACUACAUUUUCUUCCAUGAGGAAACUUCUUUCGUUUUUGUACAUAUAUUUGUUAUAAUUAAUCAAUCUCUCUGGACAAAUAAAGUCUUACAACAGAA